rnacentral:rRNA from 1 species
UUCCGGUUGAUCCUGCCGGACCCGACUGCUAUUUGGGUGAGAAUAAGCCAUGCGAGUUGAAUGGGAUACCUAAAGUUCCCAUAGCAAACUGCUCAGUAACACAUGAUCAACUUACCCUAUAGAGAAAAAUAACCUCGGGAAACUGAGGAUAAUGUUUCAUAAUUGAAUUGGCUUGGAAAAGUUUUUCAAUGAAAAGGAUAAAAAAAAUGGUUUUUAUCUGCUAUAGGAUAGGAUCGUGUUCGAUUAUGGUUGUUGGUGAGAUAAUGGCUCACCAAGCCGAUAAUCGAUAGGGGCCGUGAGAGCGGGAGCCCCGAGAUGGGUACUGAGACAACGACCCAGGCCUUACGAGGCGCAGCAGGCGCGGAACCUCCGCAAUACACGAAAGUGUGACGGGGUUACCCAAAGUGUUCAAUAGAACUGUGGUAGGUGAGUAAUGUUCCCUACUAGAAAGGAGAGGGCAAGGCUGGUGCCAGCCGCCGCGGUAAAACCAGCUCUUCAAGUGGUCGGGAUAAUUAUUGGGCUUAAAGUGUCCGUAGCCGGUUUAGUAAGUUCCUGGUAAAAUCGGGUAGCUUAACUAUCUGCAUGCUAGGAAUACUGCUAUACUAGAGGGCGGGAGAGGUCUGAGGUACUACAGAGGUAGGGGUGAAAUCUUAUAAUCCUUGUAGGACCACCAGUGGCGAAGGCGUCAGACUGGAACGCGCCUGACGGUGAGGGACGAAAGCCAGGGGAGCGAACCGGAUUAGAUACCCGGGUAGUCCUGGCCGUAAACGAUGCAUACUAGGUGAUGGUACGGCCAUGAGCCGUAUCAGUGCCGUAGGGAAACCGUUAAGUGUGCCGCCUGGAAGUACGGUCGCAAGGCUAAAACUUAAAGGAAUUGGCGGGGGAGCACCACAAGGGGUGAAGCCUGCGGUUCAAUUGGAGUCAACGCCGGGAAUCACUAGUGCGGCCGC